GUGACCGUGGCGGUGUAGGUGGAAGCAGCGGUGGAGGAGGAGGAUGAGGUAGCCAACACUGUUUUUUUUAUAUAUAUAUAUAUAUAUAUAUAUAUUUUAAUUGGGGUAGCCCCCAAAAUAUUGGGACAUAUAAAAAAAGACAACUCUGUUCCGCAGAGUAGCUGUUGACAUUAUAGUUGCGCAGGCACUUUGUUGACUUUAGAGAACCUCGGGCUAAUCGCACAUCCCCGUGACGGCGACUUUGCAUUUGGAUGUCAUCCAUAUCAACUUUCGAUGCCAGUUUCGGCGCCUACCAUGGUGACCACGGGUAACGGGGAAUCAGGGUUCCAUUCCGUACAGGGACCCUGAGAAACGACUACCACAUGCAAGGAAGGCAGCAGGCGCGCAAAUGACCCACUUCCGACGCGGGAAGUUAGAGAUGACAAAUAACAAUACAGGACUCUUUAGAGGCCCUGUAAUUGUAAUGAGUCCACUUGAAAUCCUUUAACUUUGAUCAAUUGAAGGGAAGUCUGGUGCAGAGCCACUGACCCGUACGUGCUACAGCUGAAA
rnacentral:rRNA from 1 species